AUUGAACGCUGGCGGCAUGCUUUACACAUGCAAGUCGAACGGCAGCGCGGGCUUCGGCCUGGCUGCGAGUGGCGAACGGGUGAGUAAUGCAUCGGAACGUGCCCAGUAGUGGGGGAUAGCCCGGCGAAAGCCGGAUUAAUACCGCAUACGACCUGAGGGUGAAAGCGGGGGACCGAAAGGCCUCGCGCUAUUGGAGCGGCCGAUGUCGGAUUAGCUAGUUGGUGGGGUAAAGGCUUACCAAGGCGACGAUCCGUAGCUGGUCUGAGAGGACGACCAGCCACACUGGGACUGAGACACGGCCCAGACUCCUACGGGAGGCAGCAGUGGGGAAUUUUGGACAAUGGGGGCAACCCUGAUCCAGCCAUGCCGCGUGCGGGAAGAAGGCCUUCGGGUUGUAAACCGCUUUUGUUCGGGAAGAAAUCCUCUGGGCUAAUACCCCGGGGGGAUGACGGUACCGGAAGAAUAAGCACCGGCUAACUACGUG
rnacentral:rRNA from 1 species